rnacentral:rRNA from 1 species
AAAGACUUGACGGUACUUCACAACAACCUAGAGGAGCCUGUCCAAUAACCGAUACCCCACGAUUAAUUCUACCUGCCCUAGCCUAACAGUCUAUAUACCGCCGUCGCCAGCUUACCUUAUGAAAGAAACAAAGUGAGCCCAAUAACAACACAUUAACACGACAGGUCGAGGUGUAACUAAUGAGCAGGCCAAAGAUGGGCUACAUUUUCUUAAACAGAAAAUACGAACCAACUAUGAAAUUAGAAACUGAAGGCGGAUUUAGCAGUAAGCUAACAAUAAAAUACUUAGCUAAAACUAUAGCAAUGAAGUGCGUACACACCGCCCGUCAUCCCUG